UACGUAGGGUGCGAGCGUUAAUCGGAAUUACUGGGCGUAAAGCGUGCGCAGGCGGUUUCACAAGCUCGAUGUGAAAGCCCCGGGCUUAACCUGGGAAUGGCAUUGAGGACUGUGGAGCUUGAGUGCGGCAGAGGGAGGUGGAAUUCCACGUGUAGCAGUGAAAUGCGUAGAGAUGUGGAGGAACACCGAUGGCGAAGGCAGCCUCCUGGGCCGACACUGACGCUCAUGCACGAAAGCGUGGGGAGCAAAC
rnacentral:rRNA from 1 species